UACGUAGGUGGCGAGCGUUGUCCGGAUUUACUGGGCGUAAAGGGAGCGUAGGCGGACUUUUAAGUGAGAUGUGAAAUACUCGGGCUCAACUUGAGUGCUGCAUUUCAAACUGGAAGUCUAGAGUGCAGGAGAGGAGAAUGGAAUUCCUAGUGUAGCGGUGAAAUGCGUAGAGAUUAGGAAGAACACCAGUGGCGAAGGCGGUUCUCUGGACUGUAACUGACGCUGAGGCACGAAAGCGUGGGGAUCAAACAGG
rnacentral:rRNA from 1 species